rnacentral:rRNA from 1 species
GUGGGGAAUAUUGGGCAAUGGGCGAAAGCCUGACCCAGCAACGCCGCGUGAAGGAAGAAGGUUUUCGGAUCGUAAACUUCUAUCCUUGGUGAAGAUAAUGACGGUAGCCAAGAAGGAAGCCCCGGCUAACUACGUGCCAGCAGCCGCGGUAAUACGUAGGGGGCAAGCGUUGUCCGGAAUGAUUGGACGUAAAGGGCGCGUAGGCGGCCCGGUAAGUCUGAAGUGAAAGUCCUGCUUUUAAGGUGGGAAUUGCUUUGGAUACUGUCGGGCUUGAGUGCAGGAUAGGUAAGCGGAAUUCCCGGUGUAGCGGUGAAAUGCGUAGAGAUCGGGAGGAACACCAGUGGCGAAGGCGGCUUACUGGACUGUAACUGACGCUGAGGCGCGAAAGUGUGGGGAGCAAACAGGAUUAGAAACCCCUGUAGUCC